CAUGGGGGCUGCCGAAUGUGUCAGGGAGCCAUAGCUGGGGUUUGUUCAAGCUUCCAACCUCAUAAUCAAGAAAGAAGUGGAAUCGACCUUGACCGGAGAAAAGAAAAGAUUAAAGACUAAAUUGCUAAAAUUUUAUAUUGUUGCAUCAAAGUAAGUUAUGUAUAAAUAAUAGUUAUAUUUUUAUAAAUUGUGAAUUAUGUUUGACAUGUGAAUUAAAUUUGAAUUGAGAUGAUGUAUUAUUUUAUAUAUAAAUUUGUUAUCUAAUCAUGCCUUUAUGCAAGUACGAGAUUAGAUUGAAGGAUCAAUCGUGAGAAAUGCAGGGUCAAGUACAUUCGUAUUACAACUCGUAAUGAAUUGACAGAAAAGACCAUGGUUGGACCAUGGUAGUGAGUGUGCCAGUGUAAGACCAUGUCUGGGACAUGGCAUCGUCACGGACAGAGGAGAGUCAGUGUAAGACCAUGUCUGGGACAUGGCAUCGGCUCGAUAUGAGAGUCAGUGUAAGACCAUGUCUAGGACAUGGCAUCGGCUCGAGAUUAGUUUUGAGUGCCAGUGUAAGACCAUAUCUAGGAUAUGGCAUUGGCGUCCUACCAGGUGUACAAGAUAUCCCGAACACCCCUAAUAUUACAAGUAGUUCAACGGGAAAUUCAAGGAGUAUGCUCAAGAUAAGUAAGAGUAGGAUAUGUGAGUAUUAUGACUAGGCACAGGUAUGUAUAUGAGACUCAUAAAUAAUGUGCUCAGAUUAUGAUGCAUUAUUGAUAAGGAUUCAAACGAGUAAGGUGUGUCUAUGAUCACUUGAUUGUUAUGUGCCAAGACAUGAUAUGCUUUGGUGUAAGUGUAUAUAAAUGAAAGUGAACACAAACAAUUAUUGAAUGAGUGAAA